GUUUAGAUUGAAGGAGCUUGCUCCUGAUUGAUAAACAUUUGAGUGAGUGGCGGACGGGUGAGUAACACGUGGGUAACCUGCCCUAAAGUGGGGGAUAACAUUUGGAAACAGAUGCUAAUACCGCAUAAAACCUAACACCGCAUGGUGUAGGGUUGAAAGAUGGUUUCGGCUAUCACUUUAGGAUGGACCCGCGGUGCAUUAGUUAGUUGGUGAGGUAAAGGCUCACCAAGACCGUGAUGCAUAGCCGACCUGAGAGGGUAAUCGGCCACACUGGGACUGAGACACGGCCCAGACUCCUACGGGAGGCAGCAGUAGGGAAUCUUCCACAAUGGACGAAAGUCUGAUGGAGCAACGCCGCGUGAGUGAAGAAGGUUUUCGGAUCGUAAAACUCUGUUGUUGGAGAAGAAUGUAUCUGAUAGUAACUGAUCAGGUAGUGACGGUAUCCAACCAGAAAGCCACGGCUAACUACGUGCCAGCAGCCGCGGUAAUACGUAGGUGGCAAGCGUUGUCCGGAUUUAUUGGGCGUAAAGCGAGCGCAGGCGGUUUCUUAAGUCUGAUGUGAAAGCCUUCGGCUCAACCGA
rnacentral:rRNA from 2 species